UACGUAGGGGGCGAGCGUUGUCCGGAUUUAUUGGGCGUAAAGAGCUCGUAGGCGGCUUGGCAAGUCGGGUGUGAAACCUCCAGGCUCAACCUGGAGACGCCACUCGAUACUGCUAUGGCUAGAGUCCGGUAGGGGACCACGGAAUUCCUGGUGUAGCGGUGAAAUGCGCAGAUAUCAGGAGGAACACCGGUGGCGAAGGCGGAUCUCUGGGCCUUACCUGACGCUGAGGCGCGAAAGCUAGGGGAGCAAACAGG
rnacentral:rRNA from 1 species